rnacentral:rRNA from 1 species
GAUGAACGCUAGCUGCGUGCCUAAUACAUGCAAGUCGAGCGAACAGACCAUCAGCUUCUUUCUUUGAUUUUACGUCGAGCCGGGCGAGUGAGACGUACGCGUCUCCCCUCUACCCCUGACUUGACUUUAACCUACCGAAGCUAAUACUAAUUGCCAUUUAUAUCCCACUAAUUCAUCGGUGUAGGACGGUAUAUUUAUCAUUUAUAGAUGGGUCCGCGCUGCAUUAGCUUGUUGGUAAGGUAACGGCUUACCAAGGCAACGAUGCAUAGCCGACCUGAGAGGGUGAUCGGCCACACUGGAACUGAGACACGGUCCAGACUACUACGGGAGGCAGCAGUAGGGAAUCUUCCGCAAGGGGCGAAAGCCUGACGGAGCAACGCCGCGUGAGUGAUGAAGGUCUUCGGAUCGUAAAUCUCUGUUGUUAGUGAAGAACAUAUGAGUAAGUAACUGUUCACAUCUUGACGGUACCUAAUCAGAAAGCCACGGCUAACUACGUG